AUGGAUCUCGAAAUCAAGGCUACUAUUGAGGAAGAGAGAGCAAAGACCCAGGAGCUUCUAGCGGAGGAAAGGAGGCAGGCGGCGGGGAGGGAGAGGGAGAUUGAGGAGAGGACGGCUAGGCUUUUGGAGGAGGAGAGGAACCGGAACGACUUGGCUAAUCGGGCCAUAUACGAGCUCUUCGCGUCCAUGUGCGAGAAGAACAGUCAGACCCCUCCGCCGAUGCCAGUCAUUGCUCCGGCGGACACACAUAACUCCCGACAAGCAUCGACGUCUGCCAUUGGCGCGAGCAAGAACCCCGAUCCUCCUCCGUCUUCCACUACCGCGAGCAAGAACCACGAUCCUUCACCCACGGGUUGGCAAUUUGCUUCAGAUCAUGGAAGCUUGGGUUGA
rnacentral:rRNA from 1 species